CGCACAAGCGGAGGAACAUGUGGUUUAAUUCGAUGAUACGCGAGGAACCUUACCCGGGUUUGAAUGCAUUCGGACCGAGGUGGAAACACCUUUUCUAGCAAUAGCCGUUUGCGAGGUGCUGCAUGGUUGUCGUCAGCUCGUGCCGUGAGGUGUCGGCUUAAGUGCCAUAACGAGCGCAACCCUUGCCACUAGUUACUAACAGGUAAAGCUGAGGACUCUGGUGGGACUGCCAGCGUAAGCUGCGAGGAAGGCGGGGAUGACGUCAAAUCAGCACGGCCCUUACAUCCGGGGCGACACACGUGUUACAAUGGCGUGGACAAAGGGAUGCCACCUGGCGACAGGGAGCGAAUCCCCAAACCACGUCUCAGUUCGGAUCGGAGUCUGCAACCCGACUCCGUGAAGCUGGAUUCGCUAGUAAUCGCGCAUCAGCCAUGGCGCGGUGAAUACGUUCCCGGGCCUUGUACACACCGCCCGU
rnacentral:rRNA from 1 species